rnacentral:sRNA from 1 species
CCCUCGCUAGUGGCGAACGGAUGUCCUC